GGACUGGGAAACCAAAAUAGGGAAUUCAUCAACUUCUGGUGAGUCAACUUUGUCUCUUCAGACUAAAAUUUACUAAAGACUCCAGUCCGCUUUAAGAAGCUGCCUGUAGUUGGGUCUGAUGGAACUGUAUGGGAUGUAAUGGAUUAUACAUUCUCGGCAAUUCAGUUAUUUGCUAAACAGGAAUAUCUUCUCAUAAGUCUAACUGCAAGGACUAUACAACUGAUGUGGAAUGUGAAACUUCAUCACAGUUCGGGCUCAAACUGAGGUCAAGAUAAACUGCAACAUAUAUGGAAUGUACAUUCUCCAGGAAUUUUGGUAUUUCACUUGGCUUUGUUCCAGGGGUCAGAGUCUUUGAAGGUAGACUUCACAGCCAACCCUGCAAAUAUGGUAUGCAAGCAGAUGCUGGGUACUGAUAUCACACUGGCAACAACUACACAAAGACUGCACUUCUGAAGUGUGUGAACAUGGGUCUGCUAUCCAGGAACACAUUCACUCAAUUAAGGCUGCAUGGUCCAUUUAUGUGAUAAAAGAGUUCUGGCAGGAUGAGCAUGAUUGACUGACACGGUUCCAAUAAUGACUCUGUAGUCCUGUGUAAAUUAUAUUAUCCUGACAACUCAGGCUGACUAUCCAAGAUAUUUUCAGUUACAGUGUUCAUUAUUGAUUUAUACAAGCAUUCCUUGUUCUUUAUGGUCUCCUGACUAGUGAAUGGGAGAGUAUACUUACCUGGUAUUUGAUGAUUUUCUGUGUUUUUUUAUUCUUGGUGCACCUUCAGCCAAUAAUUUACAGAGUAUAUUGUAUGUUUAAGCUUCUGCAAAGGUAACUGUACACAGAAUGACAUGCACACAAGAAUGGAAAAUGAGUCAAAAGCCAUUGUCUAUAUUGCUAUUACUGGGCAAGAAAGAGAUGUGGAUGUAGGCAAUUCGAACAAUUGCAUUGAGUUCAAAUUAAAUUCUGUUAAAUUCAGUUCCAUUUGUGUAGUGACAGUGUCAAGGAAAAAUUCCUGAACCCAUAAUCAGAGUUGAGUUAAGGACUCCCGGUGAGCAUUUAAUGCCAACUACAGACUUUUAAGCUCUAGUUGCACAAUGGUUGGAGUCUGGCAUCACGCCAUGGUCAAAGUCACUGAGAUCAAUUUUUCCCGAUUUGGAGGUUUGAUGUGAACAUUAACUGAAGCUCUAGGCCUGGAUGUGUGUGAUUUUAUGCAUUUCACUGUUGUCACAUUAUUGGCAGAUCGAAUAAUUGCAUGAAGGAGCAGAGGUACUGGUGUUCCUAUUAAAGUGGCCAGUUUAAAUGCAAGUGCUUCUUUGGUCCAGAAGCUAUUGAGAAACUCCAAGUCAGAUGCUUUUACUUUGAAGACUUACAAAUUUCCCCAUGUAAACACUGAUGUAAUAUUUGGACUUAAGUCACAGCCUUAAGUCACUAACCCUAAAUACAACCAAACAUGUUUUUGUAAUCGUCCUGUCUUUGCAAUGAUUGUUCAAACACAAUGGGUUUAUAUACAAAUUGAACCAGGAAGUCAACCGGGAAUGAACAGCAGGGACGUGUUAGUAUCUGGGAAAUUGUGACCUCUGAUGGUUGGGGAGGCAUAACAUUCUGAGCUGGUUUGAUAGAACACCCCCCUCCCCCAGCAGAUUGCUCCUGAAGCUGAACCACUCCUGCAGUGGGGCCUACCACUGGCCCAUCUAUGAUAAUUUGUGGAUUUAGAAUGUCUUCUGCAGUAACUCAGCAGCCUUCCCUGGGACCAUACACCUCCCUGUCCUUGUGACAGAAUAUUCCCCCGGCCCCACUGCUUGGAGUCAAGGAGGGUCUGAACAAGGUAGUCUCAGAUGCAGGUCCCUGGUGAAAAGACUGACCAUUUGGCCUGGGCACAGGCAUGGACAAGAUCUCUGCCAUCAGUUUACUUGGACCUUCUGCUGCUGUACCACUCAGAGCAGUUGGACAUGAGCUGCCUCCCAGGAUUAUUCGCUUUUCCUCAUCAACUCAUCAAUGGCAAGGACCUCAGACAGUUGUCCAGAGAAUGGGAAUACUGGGGGUUGAUAACCCAACACAUGUUGAAAUGUAGUGAAGCCAGUAAAGGAUUGAGAAAGCUCUGUGCAUAUGCUGCUCAGCCAAGGUACCUACUCCAUUCCUGCUGGUUGUUCCUCGAAUCAGAGGAACUGACCAAUCUCUUGGUUCACACAUUCCACUUGACCAUUCGACUGUGAGUGAUAUCCACAAGAGAGACUUACAUUCAUGAUGAGUUGGUGACAAAUGGCUUUCCAAACAUGUGGCAUGAAUUGCAUUCCCCUUUCUAAGACAUUGUCUUCUGGAGUGCCAUGAUAGUUAUCGAUUAGUGAAGUUGCUUAGCAAUAUCCACCAGAACUAGUUUGUUACCAGCAUUAUUUUUCUCUGAGCUGAGUGAGGUGCCGACUGAGUCAAUGUCACAUGAUAUGGUGCAUAUAUUUUCAGGAGGUCAUUCUAGUGGUGUGGUUUCAACAUUCUGAGUCCUAAUGAUGCCUUCCAUAAUCUUCCAUCAAACAAGGGCUCUAAAAAACAGGAUGUUUGGAAAAGAGUGUUCUCUGCCAGUCUCCGAUAGGGAUCGUCAUGGACUCAGGACAGUGCAUCUGCUUUCGUGUUCUUUGAUCCUGGUCUAUUUGUAAAACAAAAGUGGUUAAAAAAAGAGGGCCUGAUGGGCCUGGUAGAAUACAGUUUUUAAGCUGACUUAACAUAUUCAAAAAUCUUUUGGUCAGUGAGGAAUCAGAAGAGAUGUUUAUCACUCUUCAGCCACUGUCUCCUGAUUUCUAAAGCUGCCAUUAUGGCUAAUACGUAGCUUCUGGUUUCCUACAUGAAAAUUAUUCUCUGCUAGGUUGAGCUUCCUGAAGAAGCAGGCACAUCUGUGUAAUGUUGAAGGCCCAUGUAACUAUGACUAUAGUAUAGAAUCUGGGCAAUGGCAGAUAGUGCACUAAAAUGAUCCUACAAAGCAUGGCUGAAAAUGCUUUAGACAUAGCAUCAUUCCAUUUCAGGUUUGGGUUUUCUCUUGAACAAUGAGGUGACGGGGGCGGCCACAGAACUGAAGCCCUGAAUGAAAAUUUUAUAAAGUUACUGUGUCCUAGGAACCUCUGAAACCUCUUGAUCCUAUUGUGCUGGGGCCAGGAAGUUACAGCCUAAACUCUGGCUUUGUCUAUCUCAACCCCCUGUUCGGAGGUUUGCCGAAUUCACAUCUUUCCUGUUUGACCUAGAGUCAGUUUUAUAGAAGCUUUGUUACAGCUUGAGAGACAUUUCUAUAUUCUCCUGUUCUGAGGUACAAAAUAUAAGAAUAUAUAUUUAUGUAGAACACGGCAAACUAGUUCAAGAGCUCACAGACUUUCACGCUAAUAAAAGUCUGGAAAAGUGAGGGAGCAUUGAUCAAUCCAUAAGACAUUACCAGAUAUUCGUAGAGACAAGUGUUGGUGAUGAAGGGCAUCUUCUAGUCCUCUCCCUCUCUAAUACACAUGAGGCUGUAAGCACUGCACAGGUCAAGCUUGUUGAUGAUUUGUGCUCCUCAAAGACACUAAUGGGGAAAAUGUAUUAGUAUUUAAAGCCUUGUAAUUAAUUCAGGGUCAAAGAACUCCAUCCCUUUCUCCACACAUGGAACAAGCUUCAGGGAACAACAGAAAUACUUUUCAGGUUUUCAUGUGAGUUUGAUUUGAGUGGUAUGACCAUGAGUUUUUUACAGUACAAGCUCAAAGUACUAUUUCUUCCCUCCAUUCUUCCAGGAUGGAUAUGGAUGGAUUAGGAUAUGGAUGGAUUAUGAACAGCAACAUUCCAGGGGAUACCCAAAACACUGGGGUUAUGAGGGGGACAGGAUGAUGAGAAAUGAGAUUCUGUAUGCAAGUGAUGGUACAAGGCUCAUUCUGGGGCCAUGCAGUGAUUUCAGCGUUAUAAUGUAAUUUUGUCCACAGUACAUACUCAGGUCUUCCAUCCUUUGGUAGAGUUUUUCCUCCAUGGACAAUUUUGAAUAACUGACCUCUAUUAUUUUCUGAUUUCCACUCAACAGUAGCCUAAGACAAAACCUUGUGGGAGACUGUAUCUUUAUUUAUGCAAACAAACCGAUAGUUGUCUGUCAAAUAAAAUUUAAAAUCCAGCAAGAACUAGUGUAACUAGUUAAACAAGGCAAGCAGUUGGUCGUUGAUUGCUUCCUGUAACCAGACUGAAUAUUGUAAAAAGGAUUCACUGUAUCCAUUACAGCAGAAAGGAAUUUGGCAGGUGAAUUUAUCCAUUCAAUUUAUCAGGAGUAAUUAUCCACUACAGCUGAAAGGUGCAUCAUAAUUGCAAAUAACUCCAAGAUGAAGAAGCAUGAGGAACAGUUGACCAACUUUUUUUAAACUUGAGCGGAACAAUAGGCAUAUAAGCAGAUAUCUGUGUUGAUGAGUAAAGGACCUCUAGGAAUGUCUUCCUAUUCAAUCAGGUUCUAAUCUUGAAAACGAGCAUGAUGCUUGUUUUCAAAUCUCACCUUUUAAUUCCUAAUGUCCAGACUUAUGAAAAGCAAUGACAAAUCCAUGGCAUUAUGAAAAGCGAUGUCAAGUACAUGGCAUUUUCCAUUCCUUUGAGAUAUGGCAUGAGGCCUUGAUCUUAGCCAAGAGAUGCUAUGCUGUCAGUGCUUCUUCAAGUGUAUACAGAUUAUAUAACAUUUUAUAAGUUUUGCAAAAAAGUUUGAGAGGUUAUUUUAAGAAAGCAUGUUGUUAUGAGCAAUGUUUGACAAAAAGUUCAAUGUUCUGCUUUACAGGACAACACCUGGUCAGCACAUCAUUUCACUCUUUAUUACGGAUGUACUGAACUAUUUUAUGGUAUUUAUGGUGAGACAAGACAGCUGAGAACAUACUGCAGAACAUACUGCAGAUCAUGGCAAGGGUUUCAUUGAAACAAAAAAAAAUUAUGUCAUUGAAUUGUAUUGGGGAAAUAUACAGAUUACUGACACUGCUAGUUAUGUUUGUCAUGUAUCUUUGGGCUGGUGUGUUUCACAAUGUUUUUAAUAAGCAUACAUGGGCCUGUGGAAGAUGUCAACAUGACAGUCUGACGGGUGAUCAAAGCAAAAAAUUGAUGCAGUCAGGCUCUUCUGCACAUUGUCCAUUCUCCAAGAUUAUGCCUGAUGUGUGGCGGCUGGGAACAAUCUCGAAAUCGGUACCUUGAAUGAAACAAUUUAGGUUAGUAGGAUAAUAGUGAGUGAAGUAUAGUUUAGUGUAGGAUAAGAGAAUUUCUAUUAUAUAAUACAAAACCAAAAAAAUAUUUAGGUCAAAACCUUAAAUGUACACAUUUUAAUUAUAUGUAAAAUUUUCAUCUAAUUUACGCAUAUACGUCUUAUUUAAAAGAGAAUGUUUAUAUUUUCAUUGCACACAUAUUAAACAUGUUUAUUUUAUAUUCAACAGAUUUAUUUUUCUGCUUAUUUAAUUUGGACAAAUAAAGUAUGUACAUAUGCAAAAUAAAAAAUUCACAGUAGGUCUUCAUAUUCAUCAUAUCAAGCACUUAAAAACAUUCAUGCUGCAUAAACUAACUGUGUGAAUAAGCUGCCUUAAUCCCCUAGAACCUGUCCUGAUAUGCAUUUUAUCAUCUGUGGAUCCAAGCACACUAGGUAAAUAUUUAUGGUAAAUACUUUUUUUCCCCCAACAUCCAGUUUACAUCUGGUUGUUAUGUGUCUUGUAUCUGGAUUGUAUCCUGAUAAGAUUUUAACCAUAUGCAUUUACUCUUGCAGUCAAAUGUGUCUCCAGUUUGCCAUAUUUAAUGCAGAACUAGCUAUAAAUGAUGGAAUAUCUCUAACUAUAUCUCACAUUCUAUAUGUACAUAUUUUAUAAUAUCUUCAAAAAUAUCAAGGACGUUGCCAAAAAAAACAUGGCUGACAUCAUUUCUUAUUUGCAUUGGCUAAGAUUCACGCUCAAUGCUGCCAAAACUAGGAUUUAUGUAGUAAUAACAUACAUACAGUAUAUAUCAUAUACUGGAUAAUUCAUAGAUGUGUUUAUAUAAUUUAUAAUGUAAGAUCCACAAAUAUGAUGUGAAUAUUGACUUAAUGUAAUGAAAAGAGGUUGUAAACUGUGGCGUAAAGGAAAGUAUUGCUUCAGAGUGAUUGGCCAUUUGCCUUUCUGCUUAUUACAGAACACAAAAAUCACAUUUUCAGAAUGACUCCCAAACAUGGGCCAAAAAACCCCAGACACAACAAUUUCAUUUUGAACCUCUGGUAUACAUGCUCUUUUUAUUAAGCCAAAUUGCUUUGUGGUUUAGAAUGAAGAUAAUUCUGAGCAAGAGAGGAAUGGCCUGAGCUGAACUAAUCUAGUAAGUGUCUGUCUAGGAUAGAUUUAUAUAUAUAUGAAUGAAACAAAAUGCUUUCUCAAAUUUAAAAUAAUAUCUUAUUGGAAUCACUUUAUUUUUCUGAAUUUUGACAGGUAUUUUUUACAGACUGAAUAACAAAAUACAAAACUGAUGGACUCCUAAACAAUUGACAAACCAGUUAUACGUGAUACAGAUUGUAAAAUGGUUUAGAAUACUUAGCAGGCCUUUAGAGAAGUUUCCUGAGAAUCAGGGGUGGAAGAUACUGAGUAAUUAUACUUUGUUACUCUACUUAAUCAUCAUACAUCAUACAUCAUCAUCCACUGAAAACUCAAACUCCCAGAAUUCUGCCCUUCUACAUAACACUUCCACACUGGACUUAAAGUCCCAGAAUCAAAUAGAACUACAAACCACAUCACAAGUUCAAAUGCAUCAUCCAUUUGUCAGAUCCCAAUCACCAGAAUUCUAACUGACUCACCUGUCUUCAAUCACACACACACACACACACACACACACACUUAAAUAGACUGAGUUCACUGAAUAAAGUUUUGCUCCUAUCUUGUUUAGCAUUGAAUUUGGCUUCUUUGCUCUUUGUGUACAGUAUUCCAUUUGUUAAAGUCAUUAUUAUUAUAGCUUUCAUUUGUCCUUUGACUUGGAUUUUGGCCUGCUGUUUGCCUGACCUCUUGCACAUUUGUUGCUGGAUUUGCGCUUUUGUUUUGUUUGCCAUUUUCUAAGUAAAUCCUGAACUUGAAUCCUAA